rnacentral:rRNA from 1 species
UACAGGGGGUGCAAACGUUGCUCGGAAUUAUUGGGCGUAAAGCGCGCGUAGGCGGCUACUUAAGUCGGAUGUGAAAGCCCUUGGCUCAACUGAGGAAGUGCACCCGAAACUGAGUGGCUAGAGUACGAAAGAGGGUCGCGGAAUUCCCGGUGUAGAGGUGAAAUGCGUAGAGAUCGGGAGGAAGGCCGGUGGCGAAGGCGGCGCUCUGGAACAUUUCUGACGCUGAGGCUCGAAAGCGUGGGGAGCAAACAGG